rnacentral:rRNA from 1 species
AAGUUGGAUUCGCUAGUAAUCGCGCAUCAGCCAUGGCGCGGUGAAUACGUUCCCGGGCCUUGUACACACCGCCCGUCAAGCCAUGGGAGCUGGGGGUGCCUGAAGUUCGUGACCGCAAGGAUCGACCUAGGGCAAAACCGGUGACUGGGGCUAAGUCGUAACAAGGUAAC